AGCGAACGCUGGCGGCAGGCUUAACACAUGCAAGUCGAGCGGGCACUUUCGGGUGUCCGCGGCGGACGGGUGAGUAACGCGUGGGAACGUGCCCUCUGGUUCGGAAUAACUCAGGGAAACUUGAGCUAAUACCGGAUACGCCCUUUUGGGGAAAGGCUUGCUGCCGGAGGAUCGGCCCGCGUCUGAUUAGCUAGUUGGUGAGGUAACGGCUCACCAAGGCGACGAUCAGUAGCUGGUCUGAGAGGAUGAUCAGCCACACUGGGACUGAGACACGGCCCAGACUCCUACGGGAGGCAGCAGUGGGGAAUAUUGGACAAUGGGCGCAAGCCUGAUCCAGCCAUGCCGCGUGAGUGAUGAAGGCCUUAGGGUUGUAAAGCUCUUUUAUCCGGGACGAUAAUGACGGUACCGGAGGAAUAAGCCCCGGCCAACUUCGUG
rnacentral:rRNA from 1 species